rnacentral:rRNA from 1 species
UCCCGGCAGUCCAAGUCGCAGCCACAUUUGUUGGGUCUAAAAUAUCCGUAGCUUGCCUUUCAAGUCUUUUGUGAAAUCGGGACUCUUAAGGUUCCGGCGGGCAAAAGAUACUGUAAGGCUAGGGACCGGCAGGCGCAAAAAGUACAGAUGGGGUAGCGGUAAAAUGUGUUGAUCCCAUUUGGACUAACAGUCGCGAAGGCGUUUUGCGAGGACGGAUCCGACAGUGAGGGAUGAAGGCUAGGGGCGCAAAGUGG